rnacentral:rRNA from 1 species
AUUGAACGCUGGCGGAAUGCUUUACACAUGCAAGUCGAACGGCAGCACGGGGCAACCCUGGUGGCGAGUGGCGAACGGGUGAGUAAUACAUCGGAACGUGCCCAGUCGUGGGGGAUAACGUAGCGAAAGUUACGCUAAUACCGCAUACGAUCUACGGAUGAAAGCGGGGGACCGUAAGACCUCGCGCGAUUGGAGCGGCCGAUGUCAGAUUAGGUAGUUGGUGAGGUAAAGGCUCACCAAGCCGACGAUCUGUAGCUGGUCUGAGAGGACGACCAGCCACACUGGGACUGAGACACGGCCCAGACGCCUACGGGAGGCAGCAGUGGGGAAUUUUGGACAAUGGGCGCAAGCCUGAUCCAGCCAUUCCGCGUGAAGGACGAAGGCCUUCGGGUUGUAAACUGCUUUUGUACGGAACGAAAAGGCUCUGGUUAAUACCUGGGGCUCAUGACGGUACCGUAAGAAUAAGCACCGGCUAACUACGUGCCAGCCGCCGCCGUAA